rnacentral:lncRNA from 1 species
CUGUUGUAUUUUGUUAACAGUGACAAUGACAAGCACUAACAGGAUGCUCCCGCUGUGAUUGAGAAUGUGACGCAGGUCAUUCCCCAUAAUAAUUAGCUCACAGGCAGAGUUUCCAGGCGCUUCCAGGAGCAUCAAUCACCGGGAUGAAUGGGAAGCCCGUGUGUGGGAACUGCAGGGGGAGCUGGGUGCAGAGCCACCUCAGCCCUGUCACCCUGCGCGUGUCUCUGCCAUGCUUCCUUGGAUCCCUAUCUACCCCGUUUUGGGUGACAGGACGAGUUGGGCCAGUUACCAGGAUCUUGUCGCCUGGUUCUGAUGGUGUCUUGGUUCCCGGCUGGGGUUUUGUGUUUACCACGAGCGUUGCCUGCUGUCGGGGAGCUGCGUGUGUUUCACAACAAACAGGGAGCCAGGGAGACCACCCUGCGGGGCUGCCCCUUCCCUCAGCGCUUUCUGCUUGGGUCGCUGGCGUCUUGCAGUGCCUUCGUUCGUCUGUGGUGUGAGGUGCUGGUCCAGGCUUACGCGCUAACAGUGAAUUAGAAGGAGAAAACGCUCUGCGAGUGCAGCGGAAGGUCAAUAUGGAGCCUGGUUUGCUUUUAGAAUCUUCCCAAGGCCGAUGGGCUUCCUCUUCCCUCCUGACCAGAGGCUUUGAUGCCCCUGCCCUGGGCUGCCUGGUUCCUGCCCCGAGUCUUCAGAAAGAUCCCCGGGCCUGGAGACUGUGAGUUCAGGUUCAGAUGCCUUGCGUGGCCUGUGAAUCCUGGGUCUGGUCUCUGUCCCCAGGCCGGUGUUCAGGGACCACCUUGAGCACCAAAGGCAGCCCAGUCCGGCUUUGACUCAGCUCCCAGGGCGGAGUCCCUUGCCCAGCACUGGGCAGGAGGAGGGCAUCCUCAGGGCAAGGUCUGCCAUCAGCAGACCAGAGCCAGAGCCCGCAGCCCCUGAGCACUUUCAGAUUCCUGCAGCGCAGAGAGGUUUUCCGGGAGGGAAGGGAGGACCCUGUGGCUGGAGAAAUCCCGCCGCGAACACCCAGCGACCAGGUCUACAGCAGCACCAGGUCUGUGCUUCCCCCUGGUGGUCACAGAUUUUACUACACGCGGCCCACAAGUAAAAUGAGUUUCUCUUCAGUGGCCCGGUUAUCUUCUGUCGUGUAGGAGGAAGUCCAGAGCCACGGAAAUUCGGUAAGGAUCGGAUAAGGGCAAUAAAAUCGCAGCUCUAAAUCUUUUCAUGGAGUUGAAGACAGACGUUUGACUGUGGGAGCCAUCUCAUCUUUAUAACCUGGUAAACAAUGCCAGAAUAAAAACAACAAAUUCAAUGUAUUUAAGUCGGUUUCGACAGUGAGGAAUUAAAAUUAAAUUUAUUUAAACUAUUUUGACUUUUACCCAAGUUUUUCUUACAGUUCCAUCUCAUUUUUCCCUCCUUACAUAGUUUGGGGAGUAGAGAACAGUCUAUUUUUGACUCCUGUGUAACUGACAUGGACACAGAGGCCUGCGGUCCCUUGGAGGAUUAGUGGCCCACGCAGGUGUGCAGACCACGGGUCCCUCAAUCAGAAGCGGGAUGUGUGGCAGGGAGCUUUGGAGAGCUUUCAUUUUGGAUUAGUGAUUUCCUGUCGACUUUUCCUCGUUUUUGUCACAGCACACUCGGAACAUUUCUCAUCAGCUGUGUACACUAUGUCAGGCAUUUCAAAUAUGUUUCUGGAAGUUGUCAGUGCUGUUCUCUAUGAGGCCUGAAGGAAAAAUUCAAUGUUUGUAGUAAAUAAAGUACAAAAAUUAUAUCAGCUAUUAAGAGGAUGGAUUAUUUCCAAGUUGCUUAGCCAUAUUGGUUGAGCGUUGAAUGCAGCAAUGAUGCCAACAUAUUAAGCACAAGAAUCUUGUAUUCCUGGAUACUGGAAAUUCCCUAGAAGAUGGUGGCGCAGGGUCAGCUGGGUGGGGAUGUCAAGGGAUGUACAGUGGACUUCAAGAAGGAGUUUAUGGAGAUGCAAGAGAAGGUUCUGAAAACUUUGCUAGGAUGGACCCUUUGUUGAAUUAGUUCUCAGGGAGGCUGAUUUGGAGGAGACAGGUGGCAUCGGAAGCUAGAAAUAGUGUUCCACAAACAAUGAGCUUCCAGGGAAUAUUCAUGCCUAGAAUUGAAGACACAUGUGUAUGGGUUCUGUCUUCCCCUCUGUCUCAGUCUCUGUUUUGGGUGAAAUUGGGUCCCCACCCCAAAUUCACAUGUUGAAGUCCUAACCCCAGUACCUCAGAAUGUUUAUUGCAUUUGGAGAUGUUUUUACAAAGGUGAUUAAGUUGAAAUGAGGCUCUUAGGGUGGGCUGCAAUCCCACAUGACUGCAAUCCCACGUGUCCUUAUAUGGAGAGGAGAUAAGGACACAGACACACACAGAGGGGGAAAGAUCAUAUGAAGACCCAAAGAGAGAGGCCACAGAAGAAACAACCCUGCUGAUGUCUUGAUUUUGGGUAUCUAGCCUCCAAAAUUGGAGAAUAUAUAUUUCUGUUGUUUAAGCCACCUGAUCUGUGGAGCUUUGUUACAGUAGCCCUAGCUGACGAAUCCAGUGUCCUUUUGAGUUUAAGGAGCAUGACUGGAUGACCCAUCCAUUCAGUAUCAGCACCAACCAAGUAGAAACCAUCAAAGGAAGUGGACGCAGUGGCUCAGGCCUCUAAUCCCAGCACUUUGGGAGACCAAGGUGGGAGGAUCACUUGAGCCCAGGAGUUUGAGACCAGCUUGGGCAACAUAGGGAGACCCUGUCUCUAAAAAAAUUAAAAAAUUAGCUGGGUGUGGUGGCAUGUGCCUGUUGUCUCAGCUACUUGGGAGGCUGAGGUGGGAGAAUUGCUUGAACCUAGGAGGUCGAGGUUGCAGUGAGCCAAGAUCACUGCCACUGCACUCCAACCUGGGCCACAGAGUGAGAUCCUGCCUCAAAAAACAAAAACAGGCUGGGGGCAAUGGCUCAUGCCUGUAAUCCCAGCACUUUGGGAGGCUGAGGCAGACGGUUGAUUGAGCCCAGGAGUUAGAGACAAGGCUGGGCAAGAUGGCAAAACCCCGUCUCUACCAAAAAUACACACACACAAAAAUUAGCUGGAUGUGGUGGGGUGUGCCUGUAGUCUCAGCUACUCAGGACGCUGAGAUGGGAGGAUGUUUUGAGCCUGGAAGGUGGAGGUUGCAGUGAACCCAGAUUGCAUCAUUGCACGCCAGCCUGGGUGACAGAGUCAGAUCCUGUCUCAAGAAAACAAAAAACAAACAACAAACCCAAACCCCAAACCAACCAAACAAACAAAUAAAAACAACCAAAAAACCCAUCUGAUAUGGUUUGGCUCUGUAUCCCCACCCAAAUCUCAUCUUAAAUUGUAAUCCCCGUGUGUCGGGGGAGGGACCGGGUGGGAGGUGAUUGGAUCCUGGGGGCGGACUUUCCCCUUUCUGUUCCAUGAUAGUGAGUGAGUUCUCAUGAGAUCUGGUAGUUUGAACGUGUGUGGCAGUUUCCUCUUUGCUUUUCCUCUCUCUCCGGUCUGCCGUGUGAGAUGUGCUUGCUUCCGCCUCACCUUCCACCUUGAUUGUAAGUUUCCUGAGGCCGCCCAGUCAUGCUCGCUGUUAAGCCUGUGGAACAGUGAGUCAGUUAAACCUCUUCUUCAUAAAUUACCCUGUCCCAGAUAGUUCUUUAUAGCAGUGUGAAAAUGGACUAAUACACCAUUAAAGUCCACUCUGUAAGGAACCAAAAAUCUUAAAAAACAGAAAAGUGACUUGUGUGAAUGGCAUCCAGUAUCUUUUACUAGACAAGAUAUAUUAGCAUGAUUUCUAGAGAAAAGCCCAAAUACAUGUCUGAAAUAUCUAUACCACAGUUAUGACUGACUAUAAAUCUUCCCCCCGCCCCCAGUUUUGUGGUGUCCUAAAAAGGAAUCCAAAUAGUUUGGAAAAUAUCCUCAAGUCUAAAUGAAUCACGCAGCCAAGUUUUAUGAAACCAACCUACAAAGUUAUCGAUUGCUACAAGAAAGAAGAUAUUCACUUGUUACUCCUAGUUUUGUUUUAGCUCUUCUGAGAUAUCUGGGGUUUAGCUUACGGAUUGCAUGAUUUGAUGAAACUCUGCACAACAGUUAGCGAGGAAAGGAACUUUAGCUCUGAGGACUUAGGGUCCAGCCAAUGGUCUGGGUACUGCGGCAUAUCUUUCACUCAUGGUGGUGGUGAAGUUAACACUGAUGAUUAAGCUAACCUCUACCAAGCACUUCCUUCCCAUGGGCUCUAAAUUCAGUGCUUGACAUAUUUCAUUUAUGUUUCACAGAAAUGCUAGGACCUGAGACAUGGUAUAAGGGAGUGGUUCAGUUUUGGUGACACUCAGCUAUGUGACCUUGAGCAAAUUGCUUCACUCUCUGUGCCUUGGUCUUCUCAUUUGUAAAAGGUUGUUGGUAAUGCAGGUGGGGCGCUUGAAGCAGUGCCUGGCACUGACGAAGGUUUUCGUGAGUGUUGGCCACUAGUAUUUUUCUUCACACCCUCAGCUGAGGAAAUGAAGGGCACUGGAGGUGUUAAGCCAUGUGUGUAACCACUUCUAUGCCAUCACGAGGGGGGAAUCUGGCAGCACAAGAGGCUGCAUCACUGAGGCUCUGCACCGCCUCCCAGUUGGGCUUGCUAUCCUUGCAGGUACUUGUCUCCUUAUUCCUGCUGAGAUGCACGAAGGUGACUUUAAUAUGCAUGGCCCGGCUGGGUGCGGUGGCUCAUGCCUGUAAUCCCAGCACUUUGGGAGGCUGAGGCAGGUGGAUCACCUAAGGUCAGGAGUUCAAGACAGCCUGACCAAUAUGGUGAAACCUUGUUUCUACUAAAAAUACAAAAAUUAACUGGGCAUGGCAGCAGGUGCCUGUAAUCCCAGCUACUCGGGAAGCUGAGGCAGGAGAAUUGCUUGAGCCCAGGAGAUGGAGGUUGCAGUGAGUCGCGAUUGCGCCACUGCACUCCAGCCUAGGUGACAGAGCAAGACUCUGUCUCAAAAAAAAAAAAAAAUGUGUGGCCCCUGCUCUUUUACCCCCGGUACUUCAGUGUGUCUUCUCCAAAAACAAGAUCAUUCUCCUCUAUAAUGAUAAAAUCAGGAAAUUGAUGCAUUUAAUCUAUAGAUCUUAUUUGAAUUGUAUUAACUGUUUCUCUUAUGUACUUUUUAGGAAAAGAAAAUGGUUCUUUUCCUGGUCCAGGAGCCAAUAUCCAACCUGGGGUUUCACAUUUCAUUUUGCUGUCAUGUCUCUCUGUCUUUCUUCUGUCUGGAACAGUUCAUCAGCCUUUUUGUUUUUAACUUUUAUGACCUUGACUUUUAGAGUACAGGACAUUUACUUUGUGGACUGCCAUUCAAUUUGACAACAGAUUUGUUUUUAAUGUGCACUUUCUGGAAACAAGAUAUUGUUCCUCAAAGAAAUGAAAAAAAUGUUGGGAAUACAUAAGACAUCAUAACAGACACCAGCCUGAGUCGAAGCUGUUAAAGAGGCCAAGAAUUCCCAAGCUUUCCCAGGCAAACGGGGAAGAACACUGGGAUGCCUUUUCCUCCUCCUCUGUCCAUCUGCAGGCCAAGUGUGCAUCAGUCACAGGCAAACUCUGAAUUGAGCUUUGUGCAAGUCUCUGGAAAGAGACCCAAGAUCGUGUGAUGAGCAAAAGUGACAGUGCUGGAGGCAGCGACAUCUGCAGAGCCAGCCCCAUCCCUAUCUGCAGCAGAAUAUGUAUGGGGAUCCUUUAUGUGAACAAUCCACCCAGGGUAGAAUGGGGCUUUUGACAUCAGCUGAGACCCAGGCGGCCUUACAAUGAGAGGGCUGUUGGUCAAAGGAAGGACUGUUUAAUGAACUGAGAAUCUGAGGCCAGCUCUGGCCAUCUGCACUUGGAAUCAUUAGAGCAACUCUACUGUAACUGGCAACCUUGAAUAAUGCAGCAAAUUCAUAUUCCAAAAUUGUGAACUUUAAAAUUUUGUGUUUGUGUCUAUGAUGAAAAGCAUUAUAUAAACAUUUGAUACUACAAUUUUAUUAGUAAGGAAGGCUGAAAAAGUAUCUCUCUUUUGACUCUGAGGUCAAUAAUGAUAAUGGCUUUUCCCCUACACUGGGAUAGAAAUGUUCUGUCAAGGAUAUGAAAACACUUUAUGAAAAUGAAAUUCAUUAAAGCCCUUAAUAAUCAGGUAGGGAAGGCAGGUGCUCACAAUUGUCACCUGUUGGUGAGUGAACACCUUAGGCUCGGGGAGGACAAUGACUCAAGAACAAGGUCGAAUUGCAGGUGGGGGGUGAAGCUGAUCCCUAACAGUGUCCUCCAGCCCCUGGCACUGAGGAAGGACAUGGAGGGCUUGCAUCGACUUUUCCUGGCAGGCUUGUGAUUCCCAGCCAGAAUGCAGGUGGCAAUGUUGUGAUUCCUGGCGUAACCUUCAAUGCUUCAAUGAUAAUCUCUGCUGGUGCCAGGCACCAGCUGAGUGUCACUGUGCAGCUCCCAGGCUUAAGUGAUGCAUGCCGAGGUUUUCAGAGCAGUCUCUCAUUUAUUAGUUGUGUUGGAAAGAAAUCUGUACUACCUAACUGGGUACCUCUGGAUUUUAACAGCUGUGGUUUAUAAGAGAUAUGAGAGGGGGUUUGUUUUCAAAGUGCCUUUCACAAAGUAACACCUUAGACUGUAGUUUACAUUCCAUUCCAGUAGGAUAACUUGCAACACUUCUGUGCUCAGAAAUCCAACUGUGCAAGAAAAGUCAGGUUAUAUUUUCAUACAGCCCGUUCUGGCAAAUAUGCCUUCACACCACUUUCCCUCCUCCUCACCGCUAUUGGCAAUAGUCCCAAUGGAAGAGUUUUAUGUCAAAUGCUGAGUAUCUUGGAAGCUGUCCUGCACAGACACGACUGCUUGGCUGCGUGUUGGAGAGUCGCGGUUGGACUGGGAGACCAGGAAGGUCCCUUCUGGUCUGAGAUGUGAUGACUCUAGAACUAAUUAGUUUCAACUCAUAACACGAAAUGAUACUAGCUACCAUUUGGUGGGCUUUUUCUGUGUUCCAGGCUCUGUGCUAAGAUCUUAGCAUUACUCUAAUUACAAAAUCCCUGCCAAUAUUAUCCUCAGUUUACGCAAGAACAAAUGGGUUUAGGGAAAUCAAAAACUUGUCCAAUGACACAGAUUUAAGAUUUAGCAACUGAUGGCCACGUGGAAAUGGAUUACAGAUUAUUCUAAUUGGACACUCUAAACGUGCAAUUUAACCAGAAUGAAAUUUAGGGCUGCGUGCUGUGGCUCAUGCCUGUAAUCCUAGCACUUUGGGAAGCCAGGUGUAUCCCUUAAGCCCAGGAGUUUGAGAGCAACUUGGGCAACAUGGUGAAACCUGUAUCUACAAAAAAUACAAAAAUUAGCCAGGUGAGGUGGUGUAUGCCUGUAGUUCCAGCUACUUGGGAGGCUGAGAGAUGGGAGGAUUGGUUGAGCCUAGGAGGUCGAGGCUGCUGUGAGCUGUGAUGGUUCCACUGCACUCCAGCCUGGGCGACAGAGACAGACUCCAUCUCAAAAAAAAAAAAAAAAAAAGUAGCUACCUUGUGGUUGCACUCGUCUGAGACUAGCUCAUGGCUCCAGCUCUCAGGGUGGUGAGUAAUGAUUCUGUGGUCAGACGCAGUUUUGAAGUCAGGCAAGAAAACCUUCAACAAGAGUUAGAGAUGUCCUGUCUAUGAAUUUCUCCUCUAGGCUUAGGGAUAGCCCUGGGAUUCAUGUCAUGCCAGUUAGGGAUCCACUCAUUGUAAGCAAUACAAGUGCCCCCGAAGAGACAGUGCAUUAAUUGUCACCCCUUAGGAGCAUUGUGUGAAUUAGUGUGAUUUAGCACAUGCCCAGAGGGAUGAAACUCUAGCUCCAUAGGGUAGGUCCUGAUUACUCCUGGAGCAGGCAGCCAGCUCAGCUCAUGGGGAGCUCUGAGAAGUCUCUCAAUGCCUCGCAUGCAGCCCCUGCUCAGGAGUCAUGUGUCACUUCACAGUCUUGCUUUCCAGUGGGUCAAAGCAUGAUGUUUAUGAGAAACAAAUACACAAAAUUCUGACUUGUGUGAAUACAGAACACGUGCAAUAAAACGACUGCAAUCUAUUUUUAAAAUGUGGUCUGAGAAGUCAGGUUUAAUAUGACUAUGUAAUAUAUAAACAAUAUAUUUUCCACAGAAAGGAAAAUAUAAAUAAUAAAAUAUGUCUAUUUCUUUUUUUUGGUGGAAAAUUACUCCCACAAUUUGGUCCCAAGGGGGUCUUAAUUUGUCAUCAGGUCUGUGGCUAAAUGUCUUAUAAAGGAAUGCUUCUUUCUUUCGAGAAGUGUACAGGAACAGUCUGCACUGACUGCUUUUACCUGUAAAUGUUUUGAGAAUUCAGAAGUCACUUUCCUUCCACAAUAGGUGCUAGGCAUUUUAUUUAAAUAAAGCAAAAACAUUUCUGUCAUAAAGAAGGUGUUAAUAACCUCAAAGCUAUGCGAAAUAUACUAGUACAAUCUAAUACUCAUGGUGAAAAAUACAGUAAUUAAGAGCAAUUCAAGUUUUUUUGUUUUGGUUUAACUUCAGAAUUAAAAUAAACUCAGAAUUAAAAAAAUAAAAAAUGGUUUUAUUACAUGUCAGAGUAUUGAGAUACAAAAUAUAUACCAGAU